GAAAAGGAAAGAACAAAAACAAGCAAAACUAGCUAGACCGCAGCCUCAAGACACAUGAGGCAUCCGCCAAAAGCACAUGUGCAAAUUGCGGAGGUGGAGAGACCCACAACUUUAAACUAACAUCCGAUUGAGCAUCAUAUUUAGCCAACCAAUCAGCACACUCAUUUCCUUCUCUCAAAGUAUGAUUGAAAAGCAAGGACCAAUCUCGUGACAUGAGGGUACGAAUCCGACCCAGAACAAUGGCAUGAGGAUGAUAAGUCGUGUCGUUAUCGAGAAUAAGAUCAAGAGCUGAUUUAUAAUCAGGUUCCAAAGUAAUGAUUCUAAAUCCUAAAUCCCAAGCCAACUGAAGCCCAUUGAGGAUGGCAUAGAGCUCAACAAGAAGGUUAGAAACACGACCACAAGAUUCAGAGAAACCAUGGAUCCAUCCUCCAACAUCAUUGCGAAUAAGACCACCAAAACCAGCACGACCUGGAUUACCGAAGGAACUUCCAUCUACAUUUAUCUUGAGACCAGGAGCAGUUGGGGGGUGCCACGCAAUCUGUCGAAUGAUGUUUGUCCUAGCAGAGGUUGUAUGCAAAACCUGCAAAAUAAAAUUACGAGUGUUAAAUAUACAAUUAACAAUCAACCAUGUAGGCUUUCUAUUUGCUUGAAAGAUCUCU
rnacentral:lncRNA from 1 species